GCCGGGGUGGCGGAAUUGGUAGACGCACUAGCUUGAGGGGCUAGCGCCCGUAUGGGUGUAGGAGUUCGAAUCUCCUCCCCGGCA
rnacentral:tRNA from 1 species